CAUCAGCACAAGGAAGGGUCAUGAUUAGAUCUCACUUAAUGAGCUUCAACGGCUCAGAUUAGAGCAGCAGUUAAGUUGUUGAAUGUCUAUAUCAACAACUAAUCCAGCUGGCCCAAAUCAGUUAUGAUCUGGUCUUAUCAUGGAGUUCAACCAUUAAUGGAAUUACCUUGAUUUCGAGUUCCAUUAUUGUAUCAAUGAGUGUAUAUCAAUUGUAUACUGGUUGAAUAUUAAUAAAAUCCCCCUUCAG